CGCGUAGGUGGUUUGAUAAGGGUGUGGUGAAAGUCCGGGGCUCAACCCCGGAUCUGCCGUGCCGACUGUCAAACUCGAGGACUGUAGAGGCAGACGGAAUUCCGGGUGUAGCGGUGGAAUGCGUAGAGAUCCGGAGGAAGACCGGUGGCGAAGGCGGUCUGCUGGGCAGUUUCUGACACUGAGGCGCGACAGCGUGGGGAGCAAACAGGAUUAGAUACCCUGGUAGUCCACGCCGUAAACGAUGGGUACUAGGUGCCUGGGGGAGCGACCCUCUGGGUGCCGGCGCUAACGCAGGAAGUACCCCGCCUGGGGAGUACGACCGCAAGGUUGAA
rnacentral:rRNA from 1 species